rnacentral:rRNA from 1 species
UACGUAGGGUGCGAGCGUUAAUCGGAAUUACUGGGCGUAAAGCGUGCGCAGGCGGUUGCGUAAGUCAGAUGUGAAAGCCCCGGGCUUAACCUGGGAACUGCAUUUGUGACUUCAAGGCUGGAGUGCGGCAGAGGGGGAUGGAAUUCCGCGUGUAGCAGUGAAAUGCGUAGAUAUUGGGAGGAACACCGGUGGCGAAGGCGGCUACCUGGACCGGUUCUGACGCUGAUGCGCGAAAGCGUGGGUAGCAAACAGG